rnacentral:lncRNA from 1 species
GUUCUUCACAGAGCCCUCUUCUCUAGACUAAAGAGUCCCGUUCUUUCUUUACAGUGCAUAUUCUCCUGUGGACACCCAGGGGUUGCUGCCCUCCUAGAAGACUGCUCCUACAACUGACAAAAUGCCCAGGAAAAGGAAAAAAAUAUGUCAGCCAUGGCAGUAGAUCCAAGGUGCAAAUUUUUUUUCUACUCUUGGAAUCUUACCUGAGUGGGGUUAUCAGAGUCAGCUUUAAAAGGUCUGUCCCAGGUGACACCAGCAGUGCUUGGCCAGAAGACCUGGAUGUCCUUCACAUUUCUGGCUGCAAGAAAAGAAGAAACAAAGUGGAGGCAUGGGAAUGGUUCAGGAUCCCUCUGUGAAGAAAACAAGGCCCUAACUAAAGAAAUCAUUCAUAGGUCCUGGAUUGGUUCAGCUGAGCAGCUGCCCAUGCUGUAGAAAAAACUGGUGUUAUCUGACUUGAAUCGCUCACAGAAGGAAUGCCAGCCUCCCCAGAAGGUCAUGGGGGAGAGAGCAAGGAUCGAAGGGAAGGAGAACAAUGAAGAUCACUGAGAUUGUGGCCAAGCUCCUCAAUAAAUACCAGAGCCAGGUGGCAUGGACUGGGUUGCGCACACACUGUUUGGGGAGAGCUCCCUGCAGAGUUACAUAGCAUUUUGUUCUCUUUUGGGCAUCACAGGGUCUCACGACAUCAUUAUUUUUGUGUAAUUUUUUUCUGUUCAAAGAUUCUGGAAAAUCUGGGAGGGCUUUGUUGCUGCCAGUUACUGAAAUGUUUUGCAGCAUGAAAUUGAAGGUUUUUGUUACACA